GUAGUGCCAGCGGAUGCCGUUGAGCUUGCGCGCGUGGUGGCGGGCUGGGUAGUAGACGCCGUUGAGGUUGGAGAGGCCGCAGGCGUCAAACCACCACCCUGUGGAGGGGGAAGAAGAGGCUUUGGGGACGCGGGGGCCCAGUGGGGAGGAGGUGAGACCAUGGAGGGGACCUCAAGGACCCGGUGGGGGAAGAUGAGGAAACAGAGAUCCCAAGGGCCACAGGAGCCUGCCCAGGUCUCAGAGCAAAUGCAGGGGAGAGCCGAUCCCAGCCCCGUGUGGCCUGACUUGGGAGCUGUUGCAUUUUCCUCCCCAGCUGACUGUUCUGCACCCCCAGCCCCGGCACACAUACUCACAUCCACCCACCUCCUCCAGGAAGCCUUCCCUGACCACACCAGCCCUCAUGGAUGUGCUCCGGGGCGCCCCCAGCCCUGUGACUUCUACAUCUGCUGCCAUCUGGGGAGGGUGUAUAUUUUUCUGCCAGUCUGUGAGGACUUGGCGGGCACGUCCAAGCCUGUGGGGUGACUAUGACCACGAACUCUUGGGGUGGGACACCUGGAUUCAAAUCCCAGCUCUGCCACUUGCCAGCUGCACAGCCUUGGGUAGAUGGCUUCGCCUCUGAGCUUCAGUGCCUUCAUCUGUUAAAAUGGUGAGGAUAGUAACACUGACAGUGAUGACCUUGUUGGGCUGCUGUGAUGGGCUGACCUCAGUGUGCGAUGAGUCAGCACAGGGCAGGCCCGUGGUAAACGCUCAGUGCAUUUA